CUUCCUUGCCUGACUCUGUCGUGGCGGACACAGAGUACGAGCUUUCUUCACUGCGAGCCGGGACCCAGAGAUAGGUGCUGCAUGGCUUUCGUCAGCUCGUGUCGUGAGAUGUUGGGUUAAGUCCCGCAACGAGCGCAACCCCCUUCCUUGGUUGCUACCAUUCAGUUGAGCACUCUAAGGAGACUGCCGGUGAUAAGCCGCGAGGAAGGUGGGGAUGACGUCAAGUCCUCAUGGCCCUUACGGGCUGGGCUACACACGUGCUACAAUCGCGGUGACAUUUGGAAGCUCAGGGGCGACCCUUAGCAAAUCUCAUAAAGCCCUCUCAGUUAGGAUUGGGCUCUGCAACUCGAGCCCAUGAAGUAGGGAUUGAAUACAAUCGUGG
rnacentral:rRNA from 1 species